rnacentral:rRNA from 1 species
GACGAACGCUGGCGGCGUGCUUAACACAUGCCAGUCGAACGGAAAGGCCCUGCUUUUGUGGGGUGCUCGAGUGGCGAACGGGUGAGUAACACGUGAGUAACCUGCCCUUGACUUUGGGAUAACUUCAGGAAACAGGGGCUAAUACCGGAUAGGAGCUCCUGCUGCAUGGUGGGGGUUGGAAAGUUUCGGCGGUUGGGGAUGGACUCGCGGCUUAUCAGCUUGUUGGUGGGGUAGUGGCUUACCAAGGCUUUGACGGGUAGCCGGCCUGAGAGGGUGACCGGCCACAUUGGGACUGAGAUACGGCCCAGACUCCUACGGGAGGCAGCAGUGGGGAAUAUUGCACAAUGGGCGGAAGCCUGAUGCAGCAACGCCGCGUGCGGGAUGACGGCCUUCGGGUUGUAAACCGCUUUCGCCUGUGACGAAGCGUGAGUGACGGUAAUGGGUAAAGAAGCACCGGCUAACUACGUG